AACGAACGCUGGCGGCAGGCUUAACACAUGCAAGUCGAGCGCCCCGCAAGGGGAGCGGCAGACGGGUGAGUAACGCGUGGGAAUCUACCCAUCGCUAUGGAAUAACGCAUGGAAACGGGUGCUAAUACCGUAUACGUCCUCAGGGAGAAAGAUUUAUCGGAGAUGGAUGAGCCCGCGUUGGAUUAGCUAGUUGGGAGGGUAAAGGCCUACCAAGGCGAGGAUCCAUAGCUGGUCUGAGAGGAUGCUCAGCCACACUGGGACUGAGACACGGCCCAGACGCCUACGGGAGGCAGCAGUGGGGAAUAUUGGGCAAUGGUCGCAAGCCUGAGCCAGCCAUGCCGCGUGAGUGAUGAAGGCCCUAGGGUUGUAAAGCUCUUUCACCGGUGAAGAUAAUGACGGUAACCGGAGAAGAAGCCCCGGCUAACUUCGUGCCAGCAGCCGCAGUAAAAC
rnacentral:rRNA from 1 species